AGAGCGCAGGGUGGAUGCCUUGGCACUAAGAGCCGAAGAAAGACGUGAUAAGCUGCGAAAAGCUGCGGGGAGAUGCAAAUAAUCCUUGAUCCGCAGAUGUCUGAAUGGGGAAACCCGGUACGAAGAACUCGUAUCAUCCAUACGCCAAUCCAUAACGUAUGGAGGGGAACCCGGUGAACUGAAACAUCUAAGUAGCCGGAGGAAGAGAAAGAAACAUCGAUUUUGUUAGUAGCGGCGAGCGAAAGCGAAAGAGGCCAAACCGGAGUGCGUGCACUCCGGGGUUCGGACCGCAUUUAAGAUUCAGUGAUUCUAGCAGAAAGGUUUGGGAAAGCCUGCCGGAGAGGGUGAAAGCCCCGUAAGCGAAAGGAAAACUGACUGAGCGGGAUCCAGAGUACAUCGAGACACGAGAAACCUUGAUGGAAUGAGCGGGGACCACCCCGUAAGCCUAAAUACUACUUAGUGACCGAUAGCGCAUAGUACUGUGAAGGAAAGGUGAAAAGGACCCCGGGAGGGGAGUGAAAGAGAACCUGAAACCCUGUGUUUACAAGCUGUGGAAGUUCUUUAAAUGAACAACCGCGUACUUUUUGUAGAACGGUCCGGCGAGUUGCGGAUACUGGCAAGGUUAAGCACUUAAGGUGCGGAGCCGAAGGGAUACCAAGUCUUAACAGGGCGUUAAGUCAGUAUACGCAGACCCGAAACCGGGUGAUCUAUCCAUGUCCAGGUUGAAGUUGUCGUAAAAGACAAUGGAGGACCGAAGCCACAUCCGUUGAAAAGGGUGGGCAUGAGGUGUGGAUAGGGGAGAAAUUCCAAUCGAACCCGGAGAUAGCUGGUUCUCCUCGAAAUAGCUUUAGGGCUAGCCUCGAUUUAGUCUUAUGGAGGUAGAGCACUGAAUUUCCGCGGGGGCGUCAAAGCUUACCAAAGAAUAUCAAACUCCGAAUGCCAUGUAGAUGAUGAUCGGGAGUCAGACUGCACGAGAUAAGUUGGGCAGUCAAAAGGGAAAGAGCCCAGACCACCGGCUAAGGUCCCAAAGUGCGUGUUAAGUGGAAAAGGAUGUGGGAAUUCGAAGACAACUAGGAUGUUGGCUCAGAAGCAGCCAUACAUUCAAAGAGUGCGUAACAGCUCACUAGUCGAGAGUUCCUGCGCCGAAAAUGUCCGGGGCUGAAACACGACACCGAAGCCGUGGACUCGCAAUGCGAGUGGUAGAGGAGCAUUCUUAAAACCGACGAAGCUGUACCGGAAGGAGCAGUGGAGGGAUAAGAAGAGAGAAUGCCGGAAUGAGUAGCGAGAGAAAGGUGGGAAUCCUUUCGGCCGAAUAUCUAAGGUUUCCAGAGUAAAGCUGAUCUGCUCUGGGUAAGUCGGGGCCUAAGCACAGGUCGCAAGACGUAAGCGAUGGAUAACAGGUUUAGAUUCCUGUACCACGCAUUAUCAGAACUGUAGGGACGCAUGUGGAAAGCACGGGCCGGGAAUGGAAAUACCGGUACAAGCGGGGUAGGUGUACGAUAGGCAAAUCCGUCGUAUAAUCCGAAGACGUGAUGUGGAGCGAAAUAAAGUAGCANNNNNNNNNNAUCAGAACUGUAGGGACGCAUGUGGAAAGCACGGGCCGGGAAUGGAAAGACCGGUACAAGCGGGGUAGGUGUACAAUAGGCAAAUCCGUUGUAUAAUCCGAAGACGUGAUGUGGAGCGAAAUAAAGUAGUGAAGCGUGUGAGCCAUGUGCCGAGAAAAGCUGCUAUUGUGUAAUGCGUGCCCGUACCGUAAACCGACACAGGUGGAUGAGGAGAGAAUCCUAAGGCCGGCGGAAGAAGCAUUGUUAAGGAAUUCGGCAAAAUGACCCCGUAACUUCGGGAGAAGGGGUGCCUGCGAGAGCAGGCCGCAGAGAAUAGGCUCAAGCAACUGUUUAGCAAAAACACAGGUCUAUGCGAAACCGAAAGGUGAAGUAUAUGGGCUGACGCCUGCCCGGUGCUGGAAGGUUAAGAGGAGAGGUUAGCUUCGGCGAAGCUUUGAAUUUAAGCCCCAGUAAACGGCGGCCGUAACUAUAACGGUCCUAAGGUAGCGAAAUUCCUUGUCGGGUAAGUUCCGACCCGCACGAAAGGCGUAAUGAUUUGAGCACUGUCUCGACAAUGCAUCCGGUGAAAUUGAAGUACCAGUGAAGAUGCUGGUUACCCGCGCCAGGACGGAAAGACCCCAUGGAGCUUUACUCCAGUUUGAUACUGGGAUUCGGUACUGCAUGUACAGGAUAGGUGGGAGACGGAGAAGGAUGGACGCCAGUCUGUCCGGAGUCGCUGUUGGGAUACCACCCCUGUAGUACUGGGUUUCUAACCAGUNNNNNNNNNNCCGGAGUCGCUGUUGGGAUACCACCCCUGUAGUACUGGGUUUCUAACCAGUUGCCAUGAACUGGCAAUGGGACAAUGUCAGGCGGGGAGUUUGACUGGGGCGGUCGCCUCCGAAAGGGUAUCGGAGGCGCUCAAAGGUUCCCUCAGAAUGGUUGGAAACCAUUUGAAGAGUGCAAAGGCAGAAGGGAGCUUGACUGCGACACCGACGGGUGGAGCAGGUACGAAAGUAGGACUUAGUGAUCCGGUGGUAUAAAGUGGGAUUGCCAUCGCUCAACGGAUAAAAGCUACCCUGGGGAUAACAGGCUUAUCACUCCCAAGAGUUCACAUCGACGGAGUGGUUUGGCACCUCGAUGUCGGCUCAUCGCAUCCUGGGGCUGUAGCAGGUCCCAAGGGUUGGGCUGUUCGCCCAUUAAAGCGGUACGCGAGCUGGGUUCAGAACGUCGUGAGACAGUUCGGUCCCUAUCCGGCGCGGGCGGAGGAUAUUUGAGAGGAGCUGUCCUUAGUACGAGAGGACCGGGAUGGACGGACCACUGGUGUAUCUGUUGUCGACCAACGGCAUGGCAGAGUAGCCAAGUCUGGAAGGGAUAAACGCUGAAGGCAUCUAAGCGUGAAGCCCCCCUCAAGAUGAGAUAUCCCUCCUUCGGGAGUAAGACCCCUUGAAGACUACAAGGUAGAUAGGGCAGAGGUGGAAGCAUGGCAACAUGUGGAGCUGACUGUUACUAAUAGGUCGAGGGCUUAAUCU
rnacentral:rRNA from 1 species